rnacentral:rRNA from 1 species
UACGGAGGGUGCGAGCGUUGUCCGGAAUCAUUGGGCGUAAAGGGCGCGUAGGUGGCCACUUCAAGCGUGCGGUGAAAGUCGGGGGCUCAACCCCUGAUCGGCCGUGCGAACUGGGGGGCUGGAGCACUGUAGAGGCAGGCGGAAUUCCGGGUGUAGCGGUGGAAUGCGUAGAGAUCCGGAAGAACACCGGUGGCGAAGGCGGCCUGCUGGGCAGUUGCUGACACUGAGGCGCGACAGCGUGGGGGAGCAAACAGG